GACAGAGGGUGCAAACGUUGUUCGGAAUUACUGGGCGUAAAGCGCGUGUAGGCUGCUCGGAAAGUCGGAUAUGAAAGCCCUGGGCUCAACCUAGGAAGUGCAUUCGAAACUUCCGAGCUGGAGUUCCGGAGAGGAAGGCGGAAUUCUCGGUGUAGAGGUGAAAUUCGUAGAUAUCGAGAGGAACACCGGUGGCGAAGGCGGCCUUCUGGACGGAAACUGACGCUGAGACGCGAAAGCGUGGGGAGCAAACAGG
rnacentral:rRNA from 1 species